ensembl:snoRNA
GCAUGGAUGAAUUCUGUGUCACUCUGUCAGUAGUGGAUGCAGUCAGACACCAUGCAAAAGCAUCCUUUCACUUCUUUACUAAGAGUGAGUGCUGUCCUGUGCCUCACCUACUCAAUGGAGGAGUGAAUACAAGU